GGCUUUGACUGCAAAAUGUAUAUAAACAAGAUUCCUUUCAGAUGAAACUAAACUGGAAAAUUCUCUCCUGCUGAACACGACAUGCUUUGUCCUAGUGCAGAUAUGAGACUCCAAAAUACGAUUUACAUGGUGAAUUUUCUAAUCAAACACUGAACCUGUGCUAUGACUUGAUAAGAGUGCUACUGGACAUUGUGAAAGAAAAUCUGAGAGUCUGGGCCUAAGGUGAAAACUGCAGAAAAUGCCUGUGCCUGAAUUUAUUAACUACUGUAGAUACUCUUAAAGCAAACAACACAGUGCAAUGCAGGCUAUUGAUGUGUUGAAGACCGAUAAUAAAAAUGAGGCACAAAAGUUAAACUUUCUGACUCUUAACAGGAAGCAUACAUACAGAAAAAAAUAUACAAGCCUAAUAGGCUACUGUGAAUACCAGUAUUAUAUUAAAUAUAUUAUGCAUAUCUUAAUUCAUUACUAUUUUUGCAUGAUUAUGUCUGUGAAGUUGUCUUCAAAAUAUAUGACUUUGUGACUGCAAUAUCGUUAACUGUUAACAGCAUUUCUUCCAAUUAAUUUGAAGUUUACAUUGUAAAAUUAUUCUGAAUUGUUGUACAUAUAGCUAUUCUAUAACGUUGAUAAAUCACUGUAUCAUGUAAUUGAUCUUUAAUUAUAUGAUGCCAACAAAACUGUAUUCUAUUGCUUCUGAAUGAAAAAUGAACCUCAGCACAGAAAGCUUCCUUUAGAAAGCUGUUAUUAGUAAUUUAUUUUUUUUUAAUCCGUCUCUUGUUUAAGGUAACAGUCACCUACUUAAGAGUCCAGAUAAAGUGAAUUAAAGCUUCAGUACAGUGUUUUAAACAAAACUGAAGUUUGAAGUCUCCGAAGGAGAUCAGUGUUAAAUAGGAACAGGGGUUUUCUACUGUCAGAUAUUACUAUUGAAGGAAAUUUUCGUAUUCUUUUUAGAAAAUAAGAUGGGAAAAAAAAAAAGAUAUUUUGAAUGUGCACAUGAUUUGUUAAACCGUAUCCUUUGAUAAAAUUAAUCUUUACAGACCUGAUGCUGGCUCCAGAAGUCACACAAAAAUAGUUUGAAAUAGUAGGGCUGUUUAUUAAUACCAGAAUUACUUAAAAAGUCCAUCUACAGCUGAGAGUGUGCAAGUUAAUUUCUCAUCAAAGAAACUAAAAUAUUAUGAUGUUUAGAGAGAAUAUAUGUGAAUUUGUUGGUCUUCUGUUUUAACCCCCACUCUCCAUGUCUAAGGACUGGAAAUGGGACAAAAUCAUAAAUCUUUGAAAAGUCUCGUUCUAGUAUGCUAUCUUUAAGCUUACUACAUUGCUACAUAAAAUGUUUUAAAAGAUGCCUUUUUUUUGUUUUACUAGUUUACAAUCACUAGAAAGUGUUUCUUAUUUUUUAUUAUUCUUAUUUUUCUUAGUAAGCAGAAAAAAUGAAUCAUCGUAUUGUGAAAACUCUGUGAUAUAACAUCAUUUUAGUUUUUGUUUGUUUGUUUGUUUUUCCUAGAGUUUCAGCAGUUUGUGUGAAUUUAAUAUGACUGAGUAAGCUAAACAGAUAACCAAAUUGUUUUGGGCAAUAUCAGUCACAUGACAUUUUAUUAACAACAGUUAAUCUUAUG